rnacentral:hammerhead_ribozyme from 1 species
AUCUAGCUGGCGAAUCCCAAAUAGGACGAAAUGCGCAUUCCAGAU